rnacentral:misc_RNA from 1 species
CUAUCGACAUCUUCUGCAGUCAAAGUAGUUCUCCUUGAGUGGCGCAUGCAUUUAAUAGCCUCCUGCAUGAUCUCGCGAACUCGGUACUCGACAUCGGGAGCUAGAGCGAGAGCAACCUCAGGGGACAAAUUGGUGAUUCCAAUGCUCUGUGCAAUCACCUCGAUUGCUUCCUUGGGCACUAUACUCGUUACUUCGAUUGCUUCCUUGGGCACUAUACUCAUUUUGAAUUCCGGUUCAUGCACGAUUAGCCCAGAGGGAACAGAGAACUGAUCAAACGCAAGAAAGAGACAGCUCGGNCCUCAGAAAAUGACAUUGGUCUUGCACACGUUCAUUAAUAUUGGUAGAUUAGAUAUGCAGAAGCAAAGAAAUUUAAAAAUUGGAGCAAACUCAGAAAUUAGAGAGUAAAAAAUC